GUUUUAUGUCGCAGCCAUGGAAGCCCUUAAACCCAGGCAAAUGAUUUCAAAUCGAUCUUGCGACUAGACUGAAAUUUCACUGUCGGAACGACAGGUCCGAGGGCUCUCGCCGAAGGUUUCACGAUGUAGGUUCCAGAGAAGAGGAAAUAGUCCUUUACACGGUGGAGGAUGACCACACGUGGAAGUUGCUACGACAAGAAGCCGCGGAGGCCGAACGACACAGGGGAUUUCGAGAAGCGGCGUGGCCACGUGGAUAGAGCUCGGGCCCGGAGAUGAGGCAACUGAGGCCCAGAGAAGUGAAGUGACUU